GUAAUGCCGGAUGCUCCAUCACACCGCAUGGUGUGUUGGGAAAGCCUUUGCGGCAUGGGAUGGGGUCGCGUCCUAUCAGCUUGAUGGCGGGGUAACGGCCCACCAUGGCUUCGACGGGUAGCCGGCCUGAGAGGGCGACCGGCCACAUUGGGACUGAGAUACGGCCCAGACUCCUACGGGAGGCAGCAGUGGGGAAUAUUGCACAAUGGGCGCAAGCCUGAUGCAGCGACGCCGCGUGAGGGAUGGAGGCCUUCGGGUUGUAAACCUCUUUUGUUAGGGAGCAAGGCAUUUUGUGUUGAGUGUACCUUUCGAAUAAGCACCGGCUAACUACGUGCCAGCAGCCGCGGUAAUACGUAGGGUGCAAGCGUUAUCCGGAAUUAUUGGGCGUAAAGGGCUCGUAGGCGGUUCGUCGCGUCCGGUGUGAAAGUCCAUCGCUUAACGGUGGAUCCGCGCCGGGUACGGGCGGGCUUGAGUGCGGUAGGGGAGACUGGAAUUCCCGGUGUAACGGUGGAAUGUGUAGAUAUCGGAGAAGA
rnacentral:rRNA from 1 species